GUGUUAAUUGAAUUUAAACCAAUAUCAAACAUUAACGCAGAGGAAGCACAGCUGCUUUUCAGGUGGUGCAGAGGUCUGUGAAACUACAGGAACGGCCAUCAGAGUCUCUGCUGUUUGAACACUGCCGAAAUGCACCUUCAGCUACAAGAGCGAGAGUAAACAUACCACUGAAGAAACGUUAAGGAGUCCACAUAAAUAUCAGAGAAAUACAGUAAGGGAUCCCAACUGGUCAUGUGAAGUGCCACAAGCCACAGUAGAAAGAAUGAGAGAAAACCUCACUCCAUAAAAGAAUGAGAGAGGGAAAGAAUGAUGACCCUGUUCGGCUAAGCUGUUGUCCUUGCAUUGCUAAGCAAAAUAAAU